UACGGAGGGAGCUAGCGUUGUUCGGAUAUACUGGGCGUAAAGCGCACGUAGGCGGCGCAGCAAGUCAGGGGUGAAAUCCCGGAGCUCAACUCCGGAACUGCCUUUGAAACUGCAGUGCUAGAAUUCUGGAGAGGCGAGUGGAAUUCCGAGUGUAGAGGUGAAAUUCGUAGAUAUUCGGAAGAACACCAGUGGCGAAGGCGACUCACUGGACACAUAUUGACGCUGAGGUGCGAAAGCGUGGGGAGCAAACAGG
rnacentral:rRNA from 1 species